GACCUUGGACACACUAGAUUUGUAAAUGUGGUGGAUAGAUGACGGUGAGCUCAGUUGCCCCUAUAAUAUCUUGGGUUUGGUUAUCUUUCAAAAACUUUUUGCAUUUUAUAUUCUUCAAGUUUUGUGCUAUUUUGCUUUCUAUCGUGGUACUCAUCAUUAUUCCUAUACUUGCUGUAAUAUUGCAGAUUGCUUCGCUCAUUUGAACAAGAAUGAUAAACCUCAAGGUAAGCAACUUGUUUUUGUGACAUUGGUGAAUGUUGUUUUCCGCAGUAGAUGGUGUAUUUUAUUCCUGAAAUAUGAAAAUGCAAACCGUUAUCAUGCUAAAUUUUUGAGCUAAUACUGUGUACUCAAGUUGAAAUAGAUUUGAUUCGUGAAAUUCUUAAACUGAGAUCAAUUCUCAUGUCUAAUUAAAUGAGCUUAUCUAGGUGUGGAGUAGCAAAAAAAUUGAGAGUUAUAUUGUCUUGGAGAUACUUUAGCUUUUCAAGAGAAAAGAACUAUAAUAUUUCAUUGAGUCAUGUUGUCACGACCCAACUUGUUGCCCGCGCGAAGCAAUAUGGGGCUCACCAGAAAUUUUCAACUCGUGCACUCUAACUACAUAAAUCCUUGCCAAUGUCUCCUAUGGUCUCUGUAAAAAUAUAGCGGGUAGUGAGUCACUAGCUUUUUGAAUAAUAGCACUUAACCACAAACAUGUUAUAAUGGGUAUAAGUCGGAAAACAUGCUAGUAUAAUGAUAAAAAAUAUCAUAAAUAAAUGCCCUAAUGCAACAAUAAUUAGUCUUGUCUGUUUUCUGCAAGUAUAAAUGAAUUAACAAUUCAGUAAUUUAGUCUGUAAACACUGUCAUAUCAAAUCUUAUGUUUGGGAAGUUCCCAAGAAUGAAUCAUGUAAUCGUUGUCUCUGAGAAUGAAUCAUGUAAUUGUUGUCUCUCCUUGCCUUGAGAGGUAACCAAUAAUGGUGGACCUCUCGUAAAGGAGUCAAAUACAACGGGUAGGUCCCUAUUCAAGGGAAAUCGGCAAUUGUAUGCUACCUUUCCGCUAGCGAGGGUUGUACCGGUAAUCUGUAAAUAUAAGGUGCAUCAGGUCUAAAGAACCCGUCGUUAGCUACAUGAUCCAUCAACGUCUACUCUUAAAUUAUGUUGUCUUUGUAACUAGUUUUUUCUUGUAAUAAACAUUUUUAAAACCGGUAUAGGGCAAUUUUGAUUCUUAUCAAAUCAUAUCUCUAUAUCUCCUCACUCUUUCCCAAUUUCCUGUUGACCUACAGAAAAGCUUUUGAUUAUCACAUUUGAAGGAGCAAGUGGAGACUACCUUGGUUGUACUGAUAUGGCU
rnacentral:lncRNA from 1 species